rnacentral:lncRNA from 1 species
AGCUUCCACAGCAGUUGGUAAGGGACAGCAGUUGGACAGAUGCAGGGACUCCAGCAGGUUGCUUGGGAGAGAAAGGGACAAGGAGGAAACUGAGUUUGUGAAGGAAUAGACAGACAUAGUUACUCAUCUGGCACUUCAGCAGAGCUGGUUGCAGGUCUCCUAGAACAAGUGAAAUAAACAGACAUCUGCAAGUAAUACUUUGAUCCAGGAUUCCUAAGGCCCCUGGGUCCAUCUGGUCAUCCCAGUUGAAGAUUCACUUCUUUCCAGUCAUGAGGCUCUUCAUUCUGCUCUCUUUGACUGUCUUUUCAGAUGCCAUGGUCAUGGACGAGAAGGUCAAGGAAAGCUUUGUGCUGGACACAGCUUCCGCCAUCUGCAACUACGACACCCACUAUAAAGACCACCCCAAGUACUGGUGCCGAGGCUAUUUCCGGGACUACUGCGACAUCAUCGCCUUCACACCCAACAGCACCGACCGCGUGGCCCUGAGGGACACAGGAAGCCAACUCAUUGUCACUGUGUCCUGCCUGACCAAGGAGGACACAGGCUGGUACUGGUGUGGCAUCCAGCGUGACUUUGCCAGAGAUGACAUGGACUUUACAGAGCUGGUUGUGACCGAUGACAGAAGAGCCAUCACCGACAAUUUCUGGUCCGGGCAAGACCUAUCGGGCAACAAGAACAGAAGCUGCAGGGCUUCCAAGGUUGUCCACAAGGCAGAUCACUCCAGGAUGUUCAUUCUCAUCAUUUGCAUACUGAUCACGGGCUUAGCGCUCAUCUCCAUAUUCAGUCGUUUGUCCCGAAGGAGGAGAAACCAAAGGAACAGAACGGGUAAAGGCCUAACGAGAAACCAGAAAACCAGCCAAGCUUCUGCAAGCCCCACGCCGCUGCAGACAACUCUUUGACGUCCCUUCCACAUGUCCUGACUCCAAAGGCAAUGGCUCACACUGAACAGAUGGGGCUGAAGAUUUCUUUUAUUAUUAAGUUCAUAAAUAAAACGAUGUUACAGUGGAAUCACCA